ensembl:lncRNA
AUGCAGCCCGACUUCUCACGGAGCGAAGUUAACGUCACACCGGGGACCAGCAGCGAGGCGUCGUGUGGUCCCGAACAGCGACAGAUAGCUUCACCUAAUGGUCGAAAACAUCGAUGCGCGCGGAAGAGCUUCGCGGAUCAAGAUUGUCGUCUUUUGUUUUUUUUUACCUCCUCUCCUCUUUGGAUUUCGCCACUUGCACAGACGCCGACAAGACGCAUCGUCGAGUCCGGCCAGAUGUUGGCGGGCCUUCCGAUUUGCAGCCGUAGAAUAAUCCUAUUUCUGCACACGCACGCGCGCAGUCGUCUGCGGCGAUGGCUCUGAUUUGCACCUGGGUCACCGCACAUUUCAUGCAACGCACUUUAAAAAAAACUACGAUUUCUUCUUUUUUUUCAUGUUUCAGUUUAAUUUGUUCUUUUUUUUUUUUUCUUCAUUUUUAAAAAAAUGUUUCUUUAGCCAUAGACAAGGAGCUGUCUCCGUUGCAACAUUGGUAUAAUAAGGCCUUAUACAAAGGGGCAAUAUGUGAGAAACGUGCGAAGGGCAACCGACCCAACAAGGGACGUGGUCCUGACAGCAGCGCAUUAACCAGAGAACACAAUGUGAAUGUCAGACUUUCCCUUCGGAAAGAAGUCUGUCAUCGCUGCUUCCUGUGAGGAACCAACUGGCUUUACAUUUCUUGAAAACCUACUGGUCCAAAAGAUCCCCCUAAGAUAAAAAAAAGAGAGAAUUUUUGAUAACGAAGCAGGUGUGCUGAACAUAUACUUCUUUUUUUAGGAUGUGCAAUUCAUUUCACAUUUUGCCACAAAGGGGAAACGGUUAUUGCAAUGCAGCCUAAAGAAAAGAAAAAUAAGAGUCAUAAAUUCAACCUGGGGUUUCCAGGGCAACCGCUCUAAGAAUGCUCCGGCUCUUUGACGGAGUUCAGGUUAAAUGUCAGGGAUGUUCUCUCCGUUUGACUCUUGUUCCCUCCUGUGAAGAGAAACCGUCUUCGGCGCUCUCCUUGCAACCUUCGGCUGAAAUGUCAGUAUUCCUUCCAGCCAAUGACUGUGAUGACGGAUCAGUGUUUUCUGCCUAAUGUAGACUGAGUUUGUUGGCCUGUCCUUGAUCGGUGAACACGUUGG